CCAAGACUGGCAGCAGAUGCGUGGGACGAGGGGGUGGGGGGGCCUCAGGGUCCGGGACCCCGAGGACAGGGCUGAGUUUCGGGUGCCGGCGAAGUUGGACGGUCUGGGAAGCAGAGACUCCAGCCCUGGCUGCGUGGGAGCACCGACGCUGCGGACAGCGCCGCUCGGGGUCCUGGGUGCGAGCCGCGAGCCGUUUCAGCACCGGGGCGCGGACAGCUCCCGCGGGGUGCCCUGAGCGCGUCCCUUUCCAGCACCGGGACUCUGGACAGACCCCCCCCACACGUCCAGAUAAGCAGGAGAGACGAGCACACACAGAAGUCUGCACUUCCCACCAGAUCUUGGGCACGCACGCACACACUCCCGGCGACAGGUGUGAAUGCAAGCCUGCUGGUGAGGAGACGCAUCGCUCAAGCUGGCUCCUAAUUUGCUGAGACAGCCAACGCGAGUAAACGGCAAGACGCUGAGUUCAUUGCAGCCUCGGAGCCAGCCCCCGUCGACGCUGUCCUCUCAGCGCGUACCCCCUGCCUGCGCCCCCCGGGCUGGCUCUGCCUUUCCAUCCAAGCCCGAGUUCAUCAAGACAAACCCUGCUGCUCGCCACCCUCCCCCCAACGCACAGGCUCGGAGUCUGUUACUUUCUUGCUGUUCACAGGUCCGCCUCCCUGUCACACUGAGCUCCGAGAGGGCAGAACCCUUGCGCUUUCCCUGCUCUGUCCACAAUGCCUGGUCCAGAGCCUGACACACAGUAGGCGCUCAGCGAACAUUUGCUGGAUCUCCGAAGGCCCUGGGCCAGCCCCGGAGUGCAGUGGUUAAGGGAGCCAGGUCCUGGGGCCAGCAGGUGGCAUAGUGGUUAAGGCACU